CUAAGGUUCGCACUGGGGAUUUCAACAGUUGUUUUAGGUAUGCAUUUAUUGCUGGCUUGAACUCGGCCGAAGUGCAAUUUGUUCACCACUUCCAGUGGCAUUUAGAAUCUCAUCAAUGUUGGAAAUUUCCCAAUGAUCUAUCAGAAUAGCUCCUUUUUGCCUUUUUUUUUAUUGGCAAAGAAAUGUUUCAUCGAGUUAUGCUCAUCAAAAUUAAACCAAUUCUCUAGGAGAUUAUUUAAACUAGUAUCAUGAAAGUUUCAUUCUAUUACCUUAGAGUGUCGAAGUGGUGCUUAAAAACUCGAGUUAGAACAGAUCCCUCAUCAUUAGAGAACUUGAAGAAAGGACUCCUGACCAUCCCUAAUCGCUUCCCUUUAAGGCCAUUAGGCUUAAGGAAUUG
rnacentral:misc_RNA from 1 species